UUUAAUGAUAUUGUGAUGUUUAUAUUUAUUUUUAACAUGUAAACGCUUCUACAUGAUCGGAUUUCUUGGAUAAAAGUCCUCUUCACAAACAUCAGUGUUACAAACAGGUGAGGUGCCACCGCACGAUGCUUAAACGUGAUUGGUCGAUACGUACUCACAGUGAAGUAGUUCAUUUCCUGAGAGAUGUGUUUGUUUUUCUCCUUCGAGUCCUGAACCGAACCUUUCUCAAGUUUCCCAUGAUGCCCUGCAUGUUUGUCCAGGUUCACAGGGAAUGGCCGCCUGUUGCGUCUCCAGAGUCUUUGUGUGAACAGUUUACACUUCAAGGCUUUAAUCCAACCAGAGAUCAGUGUGUCUGCCCCCCCCCCCAGUAGGAAGGAGGCCUCCAGGACACCUGUGUCUGACAUGAUUUACCAAACACACCUGUGGUCACGUGACACUCAGAUUAACCU